rnacentral:lncRNA from 10 species
AAUUAAAAUAUGCUGGCUUCUUUGUUGAUUGCAAAGAUUAUAUUUUGCACAAACAAGAUAGAUGGAAACUAUUCCUUUUAAGUUCAUAAAUCACAAAAUUGAAAGUCAAUUUAUUAAUAAAAACCCAGCUCAAUCUCUGCAGAAAAUCACCUACCUCCUAGAUACAGAUGUAUAAUACUGUUCUACCACUUAUACAUCAAGAUAGAGAUUAUAAAGAUUAUAGUCAACAUUGUCAAGUAAAUGGAUCCAUGGAGGUCCCAAUGUUUAAAGCUCCAAGUUUUGAGGAUAAACAGAGGCAAAAUUAUUCCUCAGAAAAAAAAGGCUCAUGACUACACUGAGUCCUCUUCUGACUCCUUAGUAAUGACUUAGGGACUGUGGUAGAUUAUUUGCAAAGAUGACCACAAAGUCCCUUUCUUAUUAAACAUGUGACUCUAGCUUUGCCACCUCUCUCUCAUUGAGUAGAGUCUAUUUCCCCCGUCUUGAAUCUGGGCUGGGUUUGUGACCUCUCUGAUUAAUGGAAUGUGGUGGAAGUGAUGCUGUAUGACUUCCAAACCUUUACCUGAAAAGAUCUUCUACCUUCUACCCUUGCUGCCUUGGAACCUGGGACCACCAUGCUGUGAAGACUCCAGGGACAUGAGGCCAUGUGGAGAGAGUCCCAACCAUUACAACCAUCCCAGCCAUUUAGCCUGAUCCCCCACACUGAGUCUGUUAUUGGUGUUCUUGUAAUCUCCCAGGAUAGAAAUCAAGAGAGAUCACCAGCCACAGCAGCAAAGAAAAAGAGAAAGCUUCAUUUAGCUGGUGCACAGGGAAAGGCAGCACCAUGGAAGUAGUUAACAGUUCUGCAGAACAUUUUAGAAAUGGUAACAUAAGUAUAAACAACAAAACAGUGAGAUUCUGAUACCAACUUCCAGUUCCUCCUCACCAAGACUUCGUGAAAACUCUUCAGCUCAUCUGGCAAAACAAACAGGUUAUGUUCUGGUUCCUUCUGGAUGUUCUUUUUAAUAUCUCACACUUUUCCAGGCUUUUGCUGGUCUGUAAUUGAAAGUCACGUUUUCCUAUGGAGGCCCUUAAUCUUAUGUUUCUGUAUAACUUAUUAAAAGGUUAUUUUAAGGGCAUGAACGAGAGGCCUCUUAAAGUCUCACUCUUCUUACUGCCCAGAGGUAGCUGGGCUCUGUUUGUUGUAUGCUGCCUCUUUUUUUCUAAUUAGAGUGAUCUGUUUGUUAUCUACUGUCUGGGUCCUGGCUGAUCUGUUUUCUCUCUUUGUGAAGCAGGGAGGGUGGAGUUUUUAAAUAUCCUUUUGGCAGGAAGCAUAACUUUCUGAUAUGAAUCUAAACUGGGAAAUCAAUCUCUCCUCAGGCAAAGACGCAGAUACCAGGACACUUCCUUUUGAACACUUGGCUGCAGAAGCUAAGAGACAUGGGAUACGCGAAUUGAUUCUUACAUAAUAUGAGAGAUAUAGGUCUUCUCUCCCACCUGAGGGCUGGACCACACGUGAUUCCCGUGGCACGCUGCUUCUGAGCACUCUACAGCCGCCCUCUAGCCAAACCCAGCACCGGUCAGAUGGGGAGAAACCAGAGAUAGGAAAGUGCUCGCACGUGGGAGGUCACAGUGGAGCCUCCGUGAGAACCUUCACCAGAAGAAGGUUACAGGCCAUGAACUGCAGACUCAGGAAGAUAAAUUGGCAAAGCAGCACCGCGAUGGAAGAGCUCCUGGCAGCAAUGUAAAUACUGGAGCCCAGUAGAAAGAGUCUAAGUCGAGGAGGCAUGAGGACAAGAUGAUCAGUAAUUGCCAUUGAUUGCAUGGGUGAGAUCUCACCAUUCCCAUACAUUCACAGAGCAACCCACAGAGUGAACUAUAUACCAAGUGAGCAGAGGAUAAAGUAGGAUGAUCACAGGAAGGGUUAACAGGCCCCUCCCUAACCUGGAGAACCCUCACAACAUUUGCUCAGCAAUUUAGGACAAGUCUGCUUUUUAUCCUGCUGUAGAUACCUAAAUGAGCCCAGUAUCCCAGUUAAGUCCUGAAACUCCAAAAUUCAUGUAGGCUCAUAUGCCAUCCUAUUGACAUUACCACUCUUUUGCUGGUUCCCCCACAUCAUCUCUCCAAUUUGUGUGACUAUCCCACAUGCCACAACCAUUUUUAGUUUUUAUGUUAGCUCUCAUUCUAACUGGCUCUGUGGAUUAAUGUUUUAAUUUUGAUCUUACCAUCCCAAUUCCUACCUCAAAGCCUUUCUCCUAGUUGGAAUCUAGCCUCAAGUCCUAAGUGCCAUGCACCCUUGAGAUUCACAUCCUCGUCUAUUUUG